UAUAUAUAGUCCAUCUACUAUCCUAUUAAUAGGAUUGAGGACAUUGUCCUAUCAAGUCAAUUUGAAUGAUCAGAACUUCAAAUUGAUAAUCGGCACCGUUGAAAUUGAUCUACACAAUUAGAAAUGUUUAGAAACCAAAUUUUGUAAUAUUUAAAAAUCAUUAUCAAGUUCAUCUUAAGAGUUGAAAAAUGAACGAUUAUAAAUAAAUAACCUUCUUAAAAUAGAGAUUAAACUUUCUCAAUUCAUAAUCAGAGUUAUCAAACAUUAUCUAAAUAGUAUAAAGAAUUUUCUAUCAAAAAUUCAAAUAAUUUGGAUUACUCUACACCGUUAAACAAGCAAACGGCUCAUAUAGGCCGUCAAAAAUUGUCGAUUUUACAACACUUUGAUCACCAUGUAAAUAAUUUUUAAAAUUUAUGAAAUUUAGUUUCUAGAUAUUUCAAAUACUCUAGGUCAACUUCAACAGCUCCGAUCAUCGAUUCGGAAUCCCUAUCGUCAAGAACAAUUUGAUAGAACAAAUGCUUGGAUAGUAGCCCUAGCCUCUCUCUCUCUCUCUCUCUCUCUCUCUCUCUCUCUCUCUCUCUCUCUCUCUCUAUAUAUAUAUAUAUAUAUAUAUAUAUAUU
rnacentral:lncRNA from 1 species